CCUACGGGAGACAGCAGUAGGGAAUAUUGCACAAUGGGGGAAACCCUGAUGCAGCAACGCCGCGUGCGUGAAGAAGUACUUCGUUAUGUAAACCGCUAUCAGCAGGGAAGAAUAUGACGGUACCUGAUGAAUAAGCAUCGGCUACCUACGUGCCAGCAGCCGCGGUCAUACGUAGGAGCCAAGCAUUAUCCGGAGUGACUGGGUGUAAAGAGUUGCGUAGAUGCCAUAAAAGGUAGAUAGUAAAAUCUGGUGGUUAACCCAUACAGGCUUGUGGCUAAUCUGUUAAGCGCGAGAACGUUAGUGGUAACUGGAAGUGCUAGUGUAGGAGUGAAAUCCGUAGAUAUUAGAAAGAACACCGAUAGGGUAGGCAGGUGACUGGGACGGUUCUGACACUAAGGAACGAAAGCGUAGGGAGCAAACGGGAUUAGAUACCCUAGUAGUC
rnacentral:rRNA from 1 species